UACGUAGGGUGCGAGCGUUGUCCGGAAUUAUUGGGCGUAAAGAGCUCGUAGGCGGUCUGUCGCGUCGGUCGUGAAAACUUGGGGCUUAACCCUGAGCUUGCGGUCGAUACGGGCAUGACUGGAGUUCGGCAGGGGAGACUGGAAUUCCUGGUGUAGCGGUGAAAUGCGCAGAUAUCAGGAGGAACACCGGUGGCGAAGGCGGUUCUCUGGGCAUGAUCUGACGCUGAGGAGCGAAAGUGUGGGGAGCGAACAGG
rnacentral:rRNA from 1 species